GACAGAGGUGCCAAGCGUUAGGCGGAAUCACUGGGCUUAAAGCGUGUGUAGGCGGAACGUUAAGUGCCUUGUGAAAUCCCACGGCUCAACCGUGGAACUGCUGGGCAUACUGGCGUUCUUGAGCCAGCCAGGGGUCGUCGGAACAAACGGUGGAGCGGUGAAAUGCGUAGAUAUCGUCAGGAACACCGGUGGCGAAAGCGGCUUACUGGGUCUCUUCUGACGCUGAGGUACGAAAGCUAGGGUAGCGAACGGG
rnacentral:rRNA from 1 species